UGACCGCGUACUUUUUGUAGAACGGGCCAACGAGUUACGUUAAGUAGCAAGGUUAAGCACGUAAGGUGCGGAGCCGUAGCGAAAGCGAGUUUUAACUGAGCGUUCAGUUACUUGACGUAGACCCGAAACCGGGCGACCUACCCAUGGGCAGGAUGAAGCGAAAGUAAAAUGUCGUGGAGGUCCGAACCCACGAGCGUUGAAAAGCUCGGGGAUGACUUGUGGGUAGCGGUGAAAUUCCAAUCGAGCCCGGAGAUAGCUGGUUCUCCCCGAAAUAGCUUUAGGGCUAGCCUCAAGGUGA
rnacentral:rRNA from 1 species